rnacentral:rRNA from 1 species
UACGAGGGAUGCAAGCGUUAUCCGGAAUUAUUGGGCGUAAAGCGUUUGUAGGCGGGCGAGUGUGUUUAAUGUUAAAUCUUAAAGCUCAACUUUGAAAUUGCGUUAAAAACUGCUUGUCUUGAGUAUGGUAGGGGUAAAGGGAAUUCCCAGUGUAGCGGUGAAAUGCGUAGAUAUUGGGAAGAACACUAAACAGCGAAGGCACUUUACUAGGCUAAUACUGACGCUGAGAAACGAAAGGUAAGGUAGCGAAACGGAUUAGAUACCCGUGUAGUCUUACCCGUAAACUAUGGACACUAAACGGUAAAUUUUUAAUUUACUGUUAAGGCUAACGCGUUAAGUGUCCCGCCUGGGGAGUAUGCUUGCAAAAGUGAAACUCAAAGGAAUUGACGGGGGCCCGCACAAGCGGUGGAGCAUGUGGUUUAAUUCGACGGUACACGAAGAACCUUACCAGGAUUUGACAUGCUAGAUAGUUGCUUGAAAGAGUAACGUGCCGUAAGGAAUCUAGACACAGGUGGUGCAUGGCUGUCGUCAGUUCGUGUUGUGAAAUGUUGGGUUAAGUCCCGCAACGAACGCAACCCUUGUCUUUAGUUAUUUUCUAAAGAGACUGCCUGUAAUAAACAGGAGGAAGGUAAGGAUGAGGUCAAGUCAUCAUGCCCCUUAUGUCCUGGGCUACACACGUGCUACAAUGGGAAAGACAAUGAGCUGCAAAUCUGUAAAUUUAAGCAAAUCUCUUAAACUUUCUCGUAGUUCGGAUUGUGGGCUGCAACUCGCCCACAUGAAGUUGGAAUCGCUAGUAAUCGCCAGUCAGCUAUAUGGCGGUGAAUCCGUUCCCGGGCCU